rnacentral:rRNA from 1 species
UACGUAGGGGGCAAGCGUUGUCCGGAUUUAUUGGGCGUAAAGAGCUCGUAGGCGGUUCGGUAAGUCGGAUGUGAAAUCUCCACGCUCAACGUGGAGGGGCCAUUCGAUACUGCCGUGACUCGAGUCCGGUAGGGGAGUGUGGAAUUCCCGGUGUAGCGGUGAAAUGCGCAGAUAUCAGGAAGAACACCUAUGGCGAAGGCAGCUCUCUGGGACGGUACUGACGCUGAGGAGCGAAAGCGUGGGGAGCGAACAGG